GAAAGAAGAGGGUUGUGUUUCCGUGAGUAAAAGAAAGAAGAGAAGAAGCAAGACGAGACUAUCGACCAAGGUUAGAUCGAUAAGGAAAUCGAUUCUAACCAAAGAGACGAUCCAAUUGUGCCGCGAGAGAAGCUUCACCAAGGGAGACCGAUCAUCGACGGUUUACUGUAACCCUAGAGGGAACUAGAGGGUGUGGUAAACGAUAGGACUCCGGAGUAGUUUUAUUUUGGUAUCUAUUGUAAAAUUAAAAGUAUGUUUUAUUGUGAACAAAACUUUGGCACUAAGCCUUGUUAAUCUUUUGUAUAAUCGUUUGUAGUAAACUCAUUUAAGUUUUAAUGCAAUCGGAUUUCUUUUAAUUAA